GACGAACGCUGGCGGCGUGCUUAACACAUGCAAGUCGAACGAAGAGCGAUGGAAGCUUGCUUCUAUCAAUCUUAGUGGCGAACGGGUGAGUAACGCGUAAUCAACCUGCCCUUCAGAGGGGGACAACAGUUGGAAACGACUGCUAAUACCGCAUACGAUCUAAUCUCGGCAUCGAGGAUAGAUGAAAGGUGGCCUCUACAUGUAAGCUAUCACUGAAGGAGGGGAUUGCGUCUGAUUAGCUAGUUGGAGGGGUAACGGCCCACCAAGGCGAUGAUCAGUAGCCGGUCUGAGAGGAUGAACGGCCACAUUGGGACUGAGACACGGCCCAGGCUCCUACGGGAGGCAGCAGUGGGGAAUCUUCCGCAAUGGACGAAAGUCUGACGGAGCAACGCCGCGUGAGUGAUGACGGCCUUCGGGUUGUAAAGCUCUGUUAAUCGGGACGAAAGGCCUUCUUGCGAAUAGUGAGAAGGAUUGACGGUACCGGAAUAGAAAGCCACGGCUAACUACGCG
rnacentral:rRNA from 1 species